rnacentral:rRNA from 1 species
UACAGAGGUCUCAAGCGUUGUUCGGAUUCAUUGGGCGUAAAGGGCGUGUAGGUGGCGCGCUAAGUCGGGUGUGAAAUUUUGGAGCUUAACUCCGAAACUGCAUUCGAUACUGGCGUGCUUGAGGACUGGAGAGGAGACUGGAAUUCAUGGUGUAGCAGUGAAAUGCGUAGAGAUCAUGAGGAAGACCAGUGGCGAAGGCGGGUCUCUGGACAGUUCCUGACACUGAGACACGAAGGCCAGGGGAGCAAACGGG